AUUGAAAGUUUUUUUUUUGGGUUUCUGGAACCUGUAGCCGUUUGUUCUCUUAAUGGCUCCAUCCGAGAAACAACGUUAUAACUGACAUUGAGAGCUCUGUUGUAAGCAACAAAAGGUUAGCUUUUAAAGUUUACCUGAAACAAUCAUUUUAAAUGCUUCUAGUAGUGACCUAGUGGUGUUAUAUUCCACCAUCUGCUCGUCUUUCUGCUGCCAUCUUCACGACUAGUUGGCAGGAUCUCUUUUUCUUCUUUCUUCUUUCUUUUAGGUGAAAAUAAAUAGCUGUUCUGCAACAACAACGUUAAUCAUCUCCGACCCCCUUCUUUCCUCCCCGUUUACACUCGUUCUUCUGUCACUCACUAUAUUUCACUAAGAAAGCAGUAGUGGUGGUGGUAGUGGUAGUAGUAGUAGUGGUAAUGCUUUUACGGCUCCGUGUUGUUGUUGUUGUUGUUACUGCUGCCACUGUGUAUACUGACUGACAACAAACAAUAUUAUAAUAAUUUCUUCCUUCCACGGAACUAGCUUUACUGCUUGCUGCAACACCUUUUAUCAUCACCACUCACAACUCUUUCUCUCAACACCACCACCACCACCACUACUACUACCACCACCACCACCACCACCACCACUACUACUACUACUACCACCACCACCACCACCACUACUACUACUACUACAUCGCCGCCGCUGCUGCAACGUUUUAUGAAGGAUUGUAGUUGGAGCAACGAGUCCUUAACGUUGGCUUCUGGUGGAUGGAUUGUGGCUGCCUGCUAUCAUCUGCCUGUCUGUCAGUCUGCCUAUAGAAUUCGUUUCGGUCAUCCUGUUCGUGUGUGACGACUGCUGCUGCUGCUGCUGCUGCUACUGCUGCUACCACUGCUGUUUAUUUGUUGUCAACGUGUGAUGCCUGGAUGGCUUCUUAAAGUAUAAAUAUAUUUGUUCAGUUUUCUCUUGAGAUUAUAUAUAUAUAUAUAUAUAUAUACAAAAUGUUCAUUGCUGUACCGUCGUCAAUUCAUGCUGAAAUGACAGGUGGCAGCCGUACCAUUCCUGAUGUCUUCACGGCAACAACAAACACGAUUGUCUCCUUAUUUAUGGACGGAAAUCAAAGCAAGCGCUUACGUUGGAAUGUCUUGCCAUAAUAAAACGAUCUCGGUAGUCAAUCAACAUGCAGCGAAAGAAAUGUACUUUCUUCCUGCACUUCUUUCACUCAAACUGAAAUGAUGUGAAGAAUAAAAAAAAAAAAAAAAAAAGUAUGUCAUGCCACUGUUCAUAUUUAUGGAUCUCUAGCAGUUUUGUAUAAUUAGUUUCUUCUUCUUCAUCGCCUUUUUGUGUCAUUUUUUGAUCAAGAAAACAUUUGUGGCAGCACCAAAAUAUAUUUGUAAAAUAAUAUAUAUAUAUAUAUAUAUACGUGUAAACUAUUAUUAUAUAGAAUGGAAAACCGAAGGAGAAGCCUUCCGCACGUCGUUGCGGCGGCCUUGCCCCGCGUCUCACCAUUUCGUGUCUUUUUAACACCCAAAGAAGGGAAUCCUGAGACUAACAACAACAUAAAAGAAAAUUGUGUAGAUGUCAUGGAAAGCAUACGUCGAAGCAGUAUGCCUGCGCUGCCUGCCUUGGUUCCACCUUCAGUCCCUAUCAGGGUUGUUAUGAAGCAUAGUUAAAGUACAGUAU